rnacentral:rRNA from 1 species
UAGGGAAUCUUCGGCAAUGGACGAAAGUCUGACCGAGCAACGCCGCGUGAGUGAAGAAGGUUUUCGGAUCGUAAAACUCUGUUGUUAGAGAAGAACAAGGACGUUAGUAACUGAACGUCCCCUGACGGUAUCUAACCAGAAAGCCACGGCUAACUACGUGCCAGCAGCCGCGGUAAUACGUAGGUGGCAAGCGUUGUCCGGAUUUAUUGGGCGUAAAGCGAGCGCAGGCGGUUUCUUAAGUCUGAUGUGAAAGCCCCCGGCUCAACCGGGGAGGGUCAUUGGAAACUGGGAGACUUGAGUGCAGAAGAGGAGAGUGGAAUUCCAUGUGUAGCGGUGAAAUGCGUAGAUAUAUGGAGGAACACCAGUGGCGAAGGCGGCUCUCUGGUCUGUAAUUGACGCUGAGGCUCGAAAGCGUGGGGAGCAAACAGG